GGCCUGAUAGCACAACGGUUAGUGCAUCUGCUGUAAGUAUCCAUGGCGUCGCACUUUCUGCAGAAAACUCCCGUUCGACUCGGGGUCAGGCCA